rnacentral:rRNA from 1 species
UACAGAGGCCCCAAGCGUUGUUCGGAUUCACUGGGCGUAAAGGGUGCGUAGGUGGCCAGGUAAGUUUGGUGUGAAAGCUCGGAGCUUAACUCCGAAAAGUCAUUGAAUACUAUCUGGCUGGAGGGUCGGAGGGGAGACUGGAAUUCUCGGUGCAGCAGUGAAAUGCGUAGAUAUCGAGAGGAACACCAGUGGCGAAGGCGAGUCUCUGGACGACUCCUGACACUGAGGCACGAAAGCUAGGGGAGCAAACAGG